rnacentral:tRNA from 1 species
GUUGUGGCUCAGGGGUAGAGCGCUUGCCUAGCAUGCAUGAGGCACUGGGUUCGACUCUCAGCACACA